UUUUUCAAAAAAGCUGCUCAGCGGGGACAAAUACAGGUUCUCGUAAGUAUUAUUCGUCAGUGAAAUCUCCAAGUCAUAAGACGAAGAGGACUUCCUGCCCACUGUAAGAGUCAGAACACCCCACAGGCCUGACUCCCUUCCUGUCUGGCCUGGGUGGCCUUUACAAGUACCCUGUCUAAGCUCGGGAGAGACCCGCCUGUUUCUCAGCUACUCCCUUGAGCCCCUCAGCCAGCCUGGUGUGCGUUUGCGUUUUCAUUUCUGGGAAGCUGCAGCGGCCCCAGUCCUGCCUAGAGAGAAUGAACGUCUUCUGGGCUGGGGUGCCUGGGUGUUCUUGCUGUGAGGGAGCUGCGUGUGAACUCGGCCUGUCCCGACACGGGGGGCCCAGCGUGUUCUGUCACCCACAGGGCCCCGGAGCUGCAGUUCUAUACCAGCGCCGCUGCGGUGGCCAUGCUCGUCCCGGCCCGGGUCUUCUUUACGGACGUCCCAGUGAUCGGGAGGAGCGGGAAGAGCUUCAGCUACAACCAGGACGUGGUGCUGCUGCUUCUGACAGACGGAGUCCUGUUCCACCUUCAGAGCGUCACGGCGUACGCCCUCAUGGGGAAAAUCUCCCCGGUGACUUUCAGCGUCGCCAGCACCGUGAAGCAUGCCUUGUCCAUCUGGCUCAGCGUAAUCGUUUUCGGCAACAAGAUCACCAGCUUGUCGGCCGUUGGCACAGCCCUGGUGACAGUUGGGGUCCUGCUCUACAACAAAGCCAGGCAACACCAGCAGGAGGCGCUGCAGAGCCUGGCUGCAGCCACUGGCCGGGCCCCAGACGACACAGUGGAGCCACUGCUUCCACAGGACCCCAGGCAGCAUCCCUGAGAGCAGGAAGCUGCCAGCUGCUGCUGUCCUCGUGACACUGCAUCCCCCAGAAAUGGGCAGGGACGCCCUCCUUCAUGGCCCUGCUGCGGUGCAGGGCAUGAGGAGCUAAGUUGGCCAUUGCCUGCGGCUUUCUCGGUUUGUCGGUGAAGACCAGCAGAAACUCAAACUGGGGAUUCCAGGUAUCAGCUUCCUGGAGUAGAGACCAGACCAGUAGCUGACUGUGUCCGCCGAGCCCAUCCCCGUGUAAUGUGAAAACAGCCUCUGAGGCUCCCAUGCUGGGGGUGCCCACUUCCUCUCUGGGCGGCACCCCAGGGUCCACCGGGAGCCAGAGGUGGGUCCAGUGCCAACGAGAGCCGCUCCCUGCCACAGCCAAGAGAGCCCUCGGCUUCCCACACCAGCCGUCGAAGGCCCUGAGGCCCUGGACCGGCGGCAGACUGGCCCUGGGCAUGAGGCCACAGAGCAGGGCCGAAGGGAGGGGACAGAGGGCCCUGGAAGGAAGGGUCUCCUGCUGCCACAGUGGGCACUCAGAACUUCUCCCCACCUGACCCAGGGCUGUGGGCAUCCUCAGACUAUCCCAGAGGCAUCGCAAGCCUCAAGCUGCAGCAUUGCACGGCACUCAAGGGCUACGAGCACGGAGGCCGUUCAGUCGCUUCUGUUUAGAGGAAGGCCCUACCUCUUCCACCCUUCCCCACCCUGGGCUGCAUGAGCUCCCCGCAACCCCAGGGCACCCUGCCCUCCUACCUGUGGUGGUUUCCAGCCCUGAGGUUGAGGACAAACCUCUCGUGUUUAACUUGGGAGGAGAUGUGUACGUUCCUUUUCUUUUUUGGACUCUGAGUAUGAGGCAGGCUGUUCUGAGGUCCCCGUGGGGUGAGCCUGUCUGUCCUCCCUCAGAGCCCACUGUUCCUAAUCUCAUCACCUAGCACCUGUCCGGUUCCCCACGUGAGCCUUCAGCAGGACGCUGCAGUGUUGAUGGUUUGGGUUACGUGGCGUUUACCUGGGCGCCGUCCUUGCUGAAAAAGGAAGCGUCCACACUGAAUGUUUCUGGGGCGCGUGGUAUGUGUCAGGCGCCCACCCCGUCCCACUCUCCCCAAGGGACAGUAGUACUGCACACUGGGGCCACCAGCCAGCUCAACUCAUCCUCCUGUGUCACGCACCCCCGAGGGCGCAGGAGGCCUGAGGAGUGGCUACUGGAGCCGUGUGUUAGGCAGAGGCUUCUGACCGUGUCUGAGCUCUUUACCCCCAAUCUCGCAGCCGGCGGAUUCCCAUGCCCGGUGCAGCCUGUUGCCAGCCAGCCUUUGAGACCCAGAGCUCCAGGGCUUGUCAGAGGCAGCUGGGGCUCCAGUGGUCCCCAGUCUCAUUUCCCCACCUGCUCGGCCCCGAGUCUCAUUUCCCCGCCUGCUCGGCCCCGAGUCUCAUUUCCCUGCCUGCUCUUUAGGCCUUUGGCACCCAUGGUCCCUUCACUGGUUUUCCAUUUGGCUUCUCACCCGGGAAAUACAAAAAUAGCCCCUCCUGAAGAUAAAAUCGUUCAGGAACAGAGCAAUAAUUCUGACUCAUUAACUUCUACCUACUCGAAAAAGUCUGCCAUGAUGACGGACCAAAGUGAGGCUUUUUAACCCACAAGUAACCUUUUUAUUUUUUUGAGACAGUCUUGCUCUGUCUGUCACCCAGGCUGGAGUACAGUGCCAUGAUCUUGGCUCACUGCAGCCUCGACUUCCUGGGCUCAAGUGAUCCUCCCACCUCAGCCUCCCAUGUGGCUGGAACCACAGGCACGUGCCACCAUGCCUGGCUAUUUUUUUGUUGAGCUGGGCUCUCGCUUUGUUGCCCAGGCUGGUCUUGAACUCCUCGGCUCAAGCAAUCCUUCCCACUCAGCCUCCCGUAGUGUCAAGAAUAUAGGCGUGGGCUACUACACCUGCUUCAGCCGCUUCUAUAAAACCGCUGACCUGUGUGUGGAGGACAGGCCAGGUGUGUGCUCACUGCGCUGCGAAGAUGUUUUGUCACGUGACUUUCCCUGGGUUUCCAUUUCUUUUUUUCUGCUUUCCUCA
rnacentral:sRNA from 1 species